AUCCCCUGGGGAUCUUGUUGAAUUGCAGAUUCGAAUUCAGUAGGUUUGGGGUGGGGCCUAAAAUUCUGCAUUUCUAGCAAGGUCUCAGGGGAUGCUAA
rnacentral:pre_miRNA from 1 species